rnacentral:rRNA from 1 species
UAAAAAAAAAACCAUCCACAUUGGAAGGCGUUAUAAAAACCCUAAAACAAAAAAAUAUUUCUCCUUCUCUCUGGCGGGAUCCCGUCCGCGAUAGUCGCGCCUUUUGACUUCCUCGGGUCUUUUUUUAAACGUAUCUGUUAAAAACAAGCCGCAUCUGGGUGGCUUUUUUUAACCCGAGCGGAUCGAUCGAGGUUGGUCGCACAUCGCAGUAAACGAUGGACGGGCGCACCGCCGGCCCGUCUCUUUACCGCAACUCGUGACAGUCGGUGAGGCGGAGCUUGAGCGUGUACGUUGGGACCCGAAAGAUGGUGAACUAUGCCCGGGCAGGACGAAGUCAGAGGAAACUCUGAUGAAAGUCCGUAGCGAUUCUGACGUGCAAAUCGAUCGUCGGACCCGGGUAUAGGGGCGAAAGACUAAUCGAACCAUCUAGUAGCUGGUUCCCUCCGAAGUUUCCCUCAGGAUAGCUGGCGCUCAAUGAAGUCAGUCUCAUCCGGUAAAGCGAAUGAUUAGAGGCCUUGGGGUCGAAAAGAUUUCAACCUAUUCUCAAACUUUUAAUGGGUGAGAUGUCCGGCUUGCCUCGGAUUUUUUGUCGCGCCUCGACGAAGUAGUUGGUCUGGAUUCGAGAAAGUUUUAAAUUUAAAUUUCUGCGGCGGCCGUGGUCUCGCCCACCGCGACUUGCCAAAGUCUUUUAUUUUUAUUACACCUAAUUUUUCUUUUCCUACACGUCCAACGAAAUGCGGUGUGUCAAAUAACGAAGCACGGACCGACGGAUGCGAGACUGCCAAGUGGGCCAUUUUUGGUAAGCAGAACUGGCGCUGUGGGAUGAACCAAACGCCGGGUUAAGGCGCCCGAUGCGAAACGCUAAUCAGACCCCAUGAAAGGUGUUAGUUGCUAAAGACAGCAGGACGAUGGCCAUGGAAGUCGGAAUUCGCUAAGGAGUGUGUAACAACUCACCUGCCGAAGCAACUAGCCCUGAAAAUGGAUGGCGCUCAAGCGUCGAGCCUAUACCCGGCCGUCGGGGCAGAGCGGCGUCGCACGCGCAGAGUGGAGCGGAGUAAACGAAAAUCUACUAGGGGCAGGUCUAAAACCUCAACAAGCGCGCUUCGAUUUGCGUCGCAUUCCAACGCCGUCGCCCUCUCGAAAGAAAAAACUUUAUUUUACGAAGCCGUGUUCGUGUGUCGUGGUCCCUUGCCUACGUUGCUCUUCGCCUAUCGAAGCCUCCAAUUUGGCCCGUCUCUCUUUCCCUCGAAAAUCCGUAAGGAUGGACGAGGUCGACGAGCGGAUCGGUAUUUUGGGGGUGGUGGCGAAUGUGGCUCGUAAAUCGUGUGGCCUCUUGGUCGAAACACGGUCACAGCACGCGCCCAGUAUUGUAAAAAAAAAUAUUUCUUGAGGUUUCGGUGCGUCUGCUUCCUCGUUCGCGUGUACGAGGUCCUUCUCAGAUAUUUGUGACAAAACCGUAAUCUUACCUAAGCCGCGCGCCUAAGCCCCGACGAGUAGGAGGGUCGCGGCGGUGAGCGUCGAAGGUGCCGGGCGUGAGCCUGCCUGGAGCCGCCGCCGGUGCAGAUCUUGGUGGUAGUAGCAAAUACUCGUGUGUGAACCAGGAGGACUGAAGUGGAGCAGGGUUCCAUGUGAACAGGAGUUGAUCAUGGGUCAGUCGGCUCUAAGGGAGAGGUGAAAACUCUUUCCUACUCGCUAGCGGUAUAUUAUUUUUCUUUGCCCAAAACUGGACCGCAUACUAGUGAGCAAAAGGGAAUCAGGUUAAUAUUCCUGAACCUGGAUACGGAGAAAGGAUCCGCAAAAUGUCCCCCGCCUUUACGGCUCGACCGUUCGUCGUCGUUCGGGUUAAAAGACUAUCCCUCGAGAAAUGACUGCAUUUACCGAUGGAACCUGCCUUCUCGCCAAAAAUAAGGUGGAUCUUACUUGGGAUAAAAACAGAGUAGCAUUCGUUUACUUCCUCGUGAUUGGGAGAGGCCUCGCGCCUCGUUACCACCAUGAUCGACAGUUUACUUUUCCUCUGCCCAUUUAAACCUCCUGAGAGAUGGCGGUUCAAACCGGAGGUUCAUCGACUAUUUUUUCGAUCGGGUUGGUCUCCGUUCGUCUUCGUUCGUACGUCGAUUGGUGGCGGGUUCAUUGGAUCCGGAGUGGUGACGCAGUCGCACCCGGUUUAGGGGUGAGGGCCCCGGGAAGAGUUGUCUUUUCUGUAUAAGGGACGGACGGCCUGUAAUAGAAUAGCCCUGAGAUAGGCUCGCUGUACCCGUAAAGCAUCGCACUUCUUGCGAUGCCCGGUAAGCUCUCUCCUCGCCGUGAAAUCCCGAGGACGUGAUGUGCACACUCACUUAAAUUUCGUACCAGCCCGUACCCAUAUCCGCAGCAGGUCUCCUAGGUGAACAGCCUCUAGUCGANAGAUCAAUGUAGGUCAGGGAAGUCGGCNNNNNNCUGAUCCGUAACUUCGGGAUAAGGAUUGGCUCUGAGGGCUGAGUCGAACGGGCUGUGGUUCGAAGCGGAUGCGACGGCGUGCCAUGCCGUGACUGGGUUCAAGUUCGGCACUAAGAUGCCCACGGCCGACGGGKGAAACAAAAGACGGUUUCGUCGGAAAUCCAGCUUCUCGUUGAUUGCAUCUUCUCGUCGUGGCGGAGCACUCCCGGGUGCAAGCGCAGCUACCUCUCUUGUGACCUUUCUUCGUCCCAAUUUCUUAUUCGGCACUUUUCUUAGGUGGUCUGACGAGUCGUGCGUUAAAAUCUCGGCGACAUUCGAUUGACGAUCGAUUUGAUUGGCUUCUCUGUUCUCGGAACACUUCUCAGGGAGUGUGUCCCCCGGAUCUGUCUCUCUUCUCUGUUCGUCGUCUUGUCUCGAGAAAUCACCGCUUCUCCUCUCUUACUGCCUUACGAGUUCCGUUUAAUUUUUUGGCGAGGCGUCGAUUGCUCUCACAAGAUGUACUGGCCUCUCCCCGGAGAAGACCGCCGUUGUACUCGAUCAUUCUCGGGUCGCAUGCCCCUUCGUUUCCGUUCCCGUCCGGUCUGGCGUCUUUUUAAGCCUAUUGCCCGGACUAGUGUCGGUUGCCUUUCCCGCGGAGGGCCGCAGCUAGUACCGUCGAACGGGUGUUGUCUAGGGUUUCAUCCGCCCACCCCUUCGCGCGCUCUCUUUUCUGGGUGCCACCGUCUGGGGGACCCAGAACGGAACCUUUAAACUUUGCCGGUCUGCACGUUUGCUUCUUCUCCGCAACACGAUGCGAUCGAUUCUUCGAGACGUCAAAAAAAGAUUGGAAUAAAUCCAAAAAAAAUGCAGGAGCCUGUCGGGUCGAACGUUGCUGGAUGUUUAUUUAACCGUUCCGACAGUUUCUUAUCAUCCAGACAUCAUCCCCCAACUCCUGACAUUUCUUUUUGUUCUUUUUUUUUCCUUUCUUGUCUCGAUACGUUUCUUUCACAUCGCGGUGAAUGCGGCAUUCGUCUUCCGCAUCGUUUGGUUCGGUCUCCGUGUCUACCCCCCCUCUCGGUCCGGAAAUGAUCGCGUGACAGCGAGUGGGUGUCGAACGAUUCUCUUUCCCGGCCGCCGGUUUCGUCCGGCACAAAACAGCCGUCUCAGAACUGGCACUGACUUCGUGGGUCCGACUGUCUAAUUAAAACAAAGCAUCGCGACGGCCGGAGACCGGUUUUGACGCGAUGUGAUUUCUGCCCAGUGCUCUGAAUGUCAAAGUGAAGAAAUUCAGCCAAGCGCGGGUAAACGGCGGGAGUAACUAUGACUCUCUUAAGGUAGCCAAAUGCCUCGUCAUCUAAUUAGUGACGCGCAUGAAUGGAUUAACGAGACCCAUCCUGUCCCUACUUACUCUCUGGCGAAACCACAGCCAAGGGAACGGGCUUGGCAGAAUCAGCGGGAAAGAAGACCCUGUUGAGCUUGACUCUAGUCUGGCAUUGUGAAGAGACAUGUGAGGUGUAGCAUAAGUGGGAGGCCCAGGGAAACCGGACUGGUCGAACCUCGAGCGUCGGUGUCCUUCGGAUGCGGUGAGCUGUGAGUUCGUCUGCUCUUGAUUGGUCCUCGCGGGUCGACUUGCACUUUCCAAGAGGCCCCUCCGGGGGAUCCCCGCGGAUGUGCAUUUUCCCCGCGUUUUCCAUUUCUCGUCUCUCGUUCUCUUCGGCCCGUUCCUUUGGCCACCUUCCUCGAGUCCCUUUCCGCCCCGGUGUCCGUCAAUGAAAUACCACUACUCGCAUCGCUUCUUUACUUACUCGGUGAUGCGGAGAGCGAGCCGUUUCAACCAUUGCCUCCUUCCCGUAAACUCCAAUGCGGGGUUACAUCGGGCUCGGCAGGACUUUGGGCGGUUCUGGUUUCUGCGUGGCAAGCGCCUCAGACUCCACGCCUCGGUCAUUCGUAAGGUGGUAACGGAGGUCUCUUUCGAAUUUAAUAAAAGGACAAGAAAAUAGAUUUAAACCCGGUCGAGCAUUUCAACCUCCGUCUCUCUCUCGCGCUCCGCUUGAGGAGCGGUGUGAUCUGCAAUCUUCCUCGUUUAUUAUCGUUUUUGCCUUUUCCCUUAUUCUUCUUAAGAUUCCGAAGUCUCUGCCCGAUCGUCUACCGGGCGGGCGCACGAUCGUUCGAUACCCCUCGUCACGUAACGCCGGUAAAACGGUUCGAACGUCGACCUGGUCGAGUCGGACAUCUGCGUUCGUUUCAACGGCUGGAGCGUCGUCGCCUUUCGAGGAUCCACACUUCGGCCAUACGGAGCGAUACGCGCGUUCCUCUGUGCCCCUUUUCGUGUUUGUGUCUUCCUUCAUCGGCUCGAACGCGAGACCUCGCCAGCUGCCCUAACCUUCCAAGCCAUUCGGUUAAGUGAGGGUAAUAAAUGGAUCGAUCCUACCCAUCCCGCUAGUAUCCCUUCGAACCUCGUUCGUUGGGUCGGGUGGGAACCCUAGGUUCUUUCCGAAAAAAAAUUUGUUUCCCCCACCCCUUUCCGAUCGAAACUAGAUGACCUGGGCUAUUGCUGCUUGGACCAAUCUCGCCUCUCGCUCUUUGUCGCGUCGCCAAGCGCUUGUAUUCGGGGAAGUCCACGGACGCGUAGUGGCUCCCACGGAGUUCUUGUCCAUGUCUGGCGUCGCACUGGACGCGAUCC